CUGCGCUUGUUUGUGUUUUUCCCUGCUCUCUCUGCCUCAGUGUGUUACUGUGAGAUUAAUUUAUGAUGAUAGACUGUCAGUCUCUCGGUUUAAGGGCCAUGUGGGGUGUCUUUGUUUUGUUGUUCCUUACAGCCAUUCUUUUAGAGAGGAUUUCAAAGUUUAAGAUCUCAAUUUCCGCUAUGAAACUACUUGCGGUUCGAACCCAAAAUAAGACUUUUCUUUUUCGAAAGUCAUCUGUUCGAGCAGGCUGUUGUGACCUCAUGCUUUCUCUCUCUCUCUCUCUCUCUCUCUCCUUCUUUCUUCCUCUCUUCCUCUCCCUGUUUCUGCCUCUUGGCAGCUGGGCCAAAGUGGGCAGGGAGAGAGGAGGGCACGGCCGAGACUGCUCUCAAGCCCCAGCCCUUGUUCGAGUGGGGUUGCUCGCCAGCACGCUGCUCAGCCUUUCCCUCAUCUUGCAGACGAAAGAGAGGGACGUGGAAACGCGCUCUCCUCUCCUUUCUUCCCCGCCCUUUUUUCACCACCACCAUGGCCUGUUCACUUCGGGUCAUCUCUGCGGAGAUCCCUGCUCUGUCCUUUACAAAAUCUACUUCCAGUUCCCUAGUAGAACUCCUAAACCUCAUCUCUGGGUCGACGCCAGACUAAGCACCUGUCCUUGAGGCUGAGGAGACAGACUGAUCGUCAAUAACCCUGAAGAUUGACUGUUCUCCCCUGACCGUCCCACCCAUCUUCCCAGCCUGGACACCUGCCUGCAGCCUGUCUCUGCUCAGUGGGGAAGUUACGCCAUUAGCAUAUCACCUCCAUUUACACCCAUUCACAGACUGUUGCAGGACAAAAUGAGAACGGGCAACAUUUCCUUUGUUAGACCACCCAAUGCUUUAUUUGUUGUGUUUGAGUAAAAGUGUACUUUAGGGCGAUUGUGUUUGUGUUGUCCCCUCUCGCUGUAUCUCUUUGAGUGUGUUUGAAUGACAUUCCCCCUUCAUCCAUCAGUCUUUCAGGUGAAUGUGUCCUGGCGAGGUGAGGUAGUAGGUUGUAUAGUUUGUGGGAGGGAUUUAAUCCUAUUCAGGUGAUAACUAUACAGUCUAUUGCCUUCCUUGAGAGGCACAAUGACCGUCUGCAGCAACGAGGAAGUCCACAGAAAGCUGCUCUCUGAAUUCCUCAAUGCAUUGGAUGCAAUCUCACUAUGAUAAAGCAAAAGCUGGAGCACAAAUGUGUUUAUAGCCUCGCCAGCGCCACUUGGUGGCCAAGGAGCAGCAGGACUCCAGAGACCUUGUAGGUUCACGAUUCAGAGCUCCUCAAGAAUGAAAGGAUAUGAAAUGCACUCAACAGAGAAUGCAUCAGUGUUACAAAAUCUAAACAAUAAGGGUUGGUUCUCCAGAACCAAAUCAAGCCCUAAAUAAAUGCUUUUAGGCUUGUGAUAUGUUUUAGGGUAACAUUAUUCAAGGUUUUAUUAAUUAAUAAAGGUUAAAUAUAGCUAUUAAACUAGCAUCUAGUCUUUUAAUCUGACUUUUUAGGGCAUUAAAUACAUCUGAUUACACCUAAUUUCAAUUCUGAAGAUAGUUUUUUUGUCAGUAACAAUACAUGCUAUAGGGCUAUAAGCUUUAUUUUGUGGUCAGUAACCACACAUGAUAUAGGUUUAUACAUUUACUGCCAGUCAAUUCAAAAGUUGCUGAGAGGGUAUUAGGGUUGUUCCACGAAAAGAGUGCCUUUUUGCGUCUCUUUGAUAUUUUAAGUAGAAAUUGUGCACCAAUAUUGAAUUUUAAAAGCCUGUUAUACUAAAUGAAGUGCCCUUUAAUAUAGACCACAUGGAGAAUUCAACAAAUUAGAUAUGUUAUGUGAAUAAAGGCUUGUUAAAGUG